rnacentral:tRNA from 1 species
GGGAAUGUGGCUCAAGGGUAGAGUAUCCGUCUCCAAAACGGAAGAUUGAGGGUUCAAGUCCCUCCAUUCCCG